UUCUUCCAACAUCUACUUGUCAUCGACAUCUGGCUACUCCUCCGAGGAUGAGCUGCAGGGUUUGGCCUACUCUGAAUCAUUCUCUCCCCUUGCCAAGCUGUGGGGCUGGAUCUCGCUGCUGUCUCCAGAAAAAGCUUUGCCCCUGGUGUACUGGUGGUUGGGCACAGCCUGGUACCAGUUAACAACGGCCAUCUCCUUGAUCGACGU